rnacentral:rRNA from 1 species
UACCGUGAAACUGCGAAUGGCUCAUUAAAUCAGUUAUCGUUUAUUUGAUAGUACCUUACUACUUGGAUAACCGUGGUAAUUCUAGAGCUAAUACAUGCUAAAAACCCCGACUUCGGGAGGGGUGUAUUUAUUAGAUAAAAAACCAAUGCCCUUUGGGGCUCUUUGGUGAUUCAUGAUAACUUAACGGAUCGCAUGGCCUUGCGCUGGCGACGGUUCAUUCAAAUUUCUGCCCUAUCAACUUUCGAUGGUAAGGUAUUGGCUUACCAUGGUGGCAACGGGUGACGGGGAAUAAGGGUUCGGUUCCGGAGAGGGAGCCUGAGAAACGGCUACCACAUCCAAGGAAGGCAGCAGGCGCGCAAAUUACCCAAUCCCGACACGGGGAGGUAGUGACAAUAAAUACUGAUACAGGGCUCUUUUGGGUCUUGUAAUUGGAAUGAGUACAAUUUAAACCCCUUAACGAGGAACAAUUGGAGGGCAAGUCUGGUGCCAGCAGCCGCGGUAAUUCCAGCUCCAAUAGCGUAUAUUAAAGUUGUUGCAGUUAAAAAGCUCGUAGUUGAACCUUGGGCCUGGCUGGCCGGUCCGCCUCACCGCGUGUACUGGUCCGGCCGGGCCUUUCCUUCUGGAGAGCCGCAUGCCCUUCACUGGGUGUGUUGGGGAACCAGGACUUUUACUUUGAAAAAAUUAGAGUGUUCAAAGCAGGCCUUUGCUCGAAUACGUUAGCAUGGAAUAAUAGAAUAGGACGUGCGGUUCUAUUUUGUUGGUUUCUAGGACCGCCGUAAUGAUUAAUAGGGAUAGUCGGGGGCAUCAGUAUUCAAUUGUCAGAGGUGAAAUUCUUGGAUUUAUUGAAGACUAACUACUGCGAAAGCAUUUGCCAAGGAUGUUUUCAUUAAUCAGUGAACGAAAGUUAGGGGAUCGAAGACGAUCAGAUACCGUCGUAGUCUUAACCGUAAACUAUGCCGACUAGGGAUCGGCGAUGUACUAUUUGACUCGCUCGGCACCUUACGAGAAAUCAAGUUUUUGGGUUCUGGGGGGAGUAUGGUC